rnacentral:rRNA from 1 species
UACGGAGGAUGCAAGCGUUAUCCGGAUUUAUUGGGUUUAAAGGGUCCGUAGGCGGAACUUUAAGUCAGUGGUGAAAGCCUACAGCUCAACUGUAGAACUGCCAUUGAUACUGAAGUUCUUGAAUAUAUAUGAAGUGGGCGGAAUGCGUCAUGUAGCGGUGAAAUGCAUAGAUAUGACACAGAACACCGAUAGCGAAGGCA